UACUAUGGCCAAGCCACCCUGAACAUACCCGAUCUCCGCUGAUCUCGGAAGCUAAGCAGGGUCAGGCCUGGAUAGUACUUGGAUGGGAGACCACUUAGGAAUACCAGGUGCUGUAGGCA
rnacentral:rRNA from 1 species